UUACUCUGAUUCGCGCUAUGGUAGCUGUUGUGAGAAGUACCUGACUAAGCCUGACUUUUGUGCAGCCUACGGAUGCUCUAAUCACCGCAGUCUGCAAACAAGAACCCGUGGGAUCACCUUUCAUGUGUUUCCAAAAACCGGAGAGAGGAGGAGGCAGUGGGAACUCGCCCUCAGAAGGGACAUCUUCAGGUUCCAUGAGACGCAGCACUAUGUUCCCCACAUGUUUAUGUUUGCUCAGUCUAAUAAACCCAUAACAUGGUUGUGAAAGAAUAGCAAAGCUGAGGCUGGACAAUGAUUGAUUGUUGGUGUGCCAUGUGUCACCGUGUGUCUUAUUGGUUUUGUGUUAUACUGUAUUUUAUUGUGUGCAGCUGGUCCUUAUCUCCAAGACACAUUUAAAACAAAUAACCUUGAA